GUGCCAGCAGCCGCGGUAAUACGUAGGGUGCAAGCGUUAAUCGGAAUUACUGGGCGUAAAGCGUGCGCAGGCGGUCUUGUAAGACAGGUGUGAAAUCCCCGGGCUUAACCUGGGAACUGCACUUGUGACUGCAAGGCUGGAGUACGGUAGAGGGGGGUGGAAUUCCGCGUGUAGCAGUGAAAUGCGUAGAUAUGCGGAGGAACACCGAUGGCGAAGGCAGCCCCCUGGACCUGUACUGACGCUCAUGCACGAAAGCAUGGGGAGCAAACAGGAUUAGAUACCCCGGUAGUCCACGCCGUAAACGAUCGGCACUUGAGGUGGGCCCUGUCCGGGGUCCGUCUCGCAGCCAACGCGAUAAGUGCCGCGCCUGGGGAGUACGGUCGCAAGACUGAAACUCAAAGGAAUUGACGG
rnacentral:rRNA from 1 species